rnacentral:rRNA from 1 species
GACGAACGCUGGCGGCGUGCUUAACACAUGCAAGUCGAACGGAAAGGCCCUGCUUUUGUGGGGUGCUCGAGUGGCGAACGGGUGAGUAACACGUGAGUAACCUGCCCUUGACUUUGGGAUAACUUCAGGAAACUGGGGCUAAUACCGGAUAGGAGCUCCUGCUGCAUGGUGGGGGUUGGAAAGUUUCGGCGGUUGGGGAUGGACUCGCGGCUUAUCAGCUUGUUGGUGGGGUAGUGGCUUACCAAGGCUUUGACGGGUAGCCGGCCUGAGAGGGUGACCGGCAACAUUGGGACUGAGAUGCGGCCGAGACUCCUACGGGAGGCAGCAGUGGGGAAUAUUGCACAAUGGGAGGAAGCCUGAUGCAGCAACGCCGCGUGCGGGAUGACGGCCUUCGGGUUGUAAACCGCUUUCGCCUGUGACGAAGCGUGAGUGACGGUAAUGGGUAAAGAAGCACCGGAUAACUACGUG